GACGAACGCUGGCGGCGUGCCUAAUACAUGCAAGUUGAGCGCUGAAGGUUGGUACUUGUACCGACUGGAUGAGCAGCGCACGGGUGAGUAACGCGUGGGGAAUCUGCCUUUGAGCGGGGGACAACAUUUGGAAACGAAUGCUAAUACCGCAUAAAAACUUUAAACACAAGUUUUAAGUUUGAAAGAUGCCAUUGCAUCACUCAAAGACGAUCCCGCGUUGUAUUAGCUAGUUGGUGAGGUAAAGGCUCACCAAGGCGAGGAUACAUAGCCGACCUGAGAGGGUGGGCGGCCGACUUGGGACUGAGACACGGCACAAACUCCUACGGGAGGCAGCAGGAGGGAAUCGUCGGCAAUGGGCGAAAGUCUGACCGAGCAACGCCGCGGGAGUGAAGAAGGUUUUCGGAUCGGAAAACUCUGUUGGUGGGGAAGAACGUUGGUGAGAGUGGAAAGCUCAUCAAGUGACGGUAACUACCCAGAAAGGGACGGCUAACUACGUG
rnacentral:rRNA from 1 species